GACAGUAUGUGGAGGUCAUGUGCUCAUAAAGUGAACUGUAUACUGUGUGUCACUGGCAGCAGGGGCUGUGUUCCGAAUGGAAUACUGGCAUACUGCAUAGUAUGCACAAUGCAUACUUAUUUUUUUAAGCAUAUUUGGAACAGUAUGCAAUGAUAAAUGCUUCUUACUGCUAUAUUGCUGUCACAAGACCUCAUUGUAUUGCAUGUUUUAUUCAACUCAUUUUAAUGCACUUAUAUCUGAAAAUGUCUUAAUCUUUGUCGGUCUAAUCAAAUGAGUCAAGAUUUUAACAUUUAUGGCUGAUAUGAUUUACUUUUCAUCCCACUAGAAAUUGAAGAUCAAGUUGAGUGUGUUUCAUUGUGCAAUGCAGUAUUCAUACAGAAAACUCCAUGCACAAUAUGCAUACUGUAGAAAAAGCACUGUAGUAUGAUACUCCAAACACAGCAGAAGUGUUGGACUCAGAGAGUCGUCUGGAUUCACUGGAAGUAAACCAGGUACAUAGACUCUUUCAUGCAGCUCUGCGGUACAAACUUGUGUGCUUCCAACUCAAACUUCCCGAUUGUGACGUCACAGGAGGCGGAGCUUAUUUUCCUUCCCUUCAUAAUAUCUUAUGGGUACAGAGAGAGGAUUCAGUGAGUUCUUAUAACAAAUGUUUCAAGAACAAUUUACAGUAAGGUUCUACUUGUUAUCAUUUGUGAACUGCAUCAGUUAAAAUAAACUAAUAAUUAAAUUAACUACAGCAUUGUAUUAAAGCACACUAAAGUUGUUAAUUUCUGUAUGGAGGACAAGCUUGCAAAAAUAAAUAAAAUAAAAAUAAAAUAAAUAAAUAUAAUAAUCGAAAAAUAAAUAAAGGAAUAAAUGACUUACAAAAACAAGUUUUUUAAUGAUACAAUUAAAAUUAUCCUAAAUAUCGCCUUUAUUUUAUUAUGUUCUUAAUUUAUUUGUAGCCGUAUUUUUAUAUUUAUUUAUUCUCACGCGUAAGGUCCUCCAUAGAUGUCAAUACAUUGUUAAAAUUAAAAAAAUGUAUCUGUUAGCAUUAUUUAAUGGACCUGAAUUACAUGAACUAACAAAAAAACAGUGGUUUUUAACAAAUAUUAAUACUGAAAUGUGAUUUGGAUUAACCAAUCAGUAUGCAAGUGCUCAUAAUGUUUUCUGAAGGGAUAAUUAAAGCCACAUUAUUGUAUAAUGUACAUUAUUAGACUGUAUAACAGUGUACUGUGUGUAAAUCAUCUGUAUCAUAAGAUAUGCAAUAAGUGAAUGAGUUGUUAACAUCGAUGAUGUGAUAAUUAAUAAAAGGUCAAUUUAACUGUCAAA